GUAGGGUGCAAGCGUUGUCCGGAAUUAUUGGGCGUAAAGAGCUCGUAGGCGGUCUGUCGCGUCGGCUGUGAAAACUCGGGGCUCAACCCCGAGCCCGCAGUCGAUACGGGCAGACUAGAGUGCGGUAGGGGAGACUGGAAUUCCUGGUGUAGCGGUGAAAUGCGCAGAUAUCAGGAGGAACACCGGUGGCGAAGGCGGGUCUCUGGGCCGUAACUGACGCUGAGGAGCGAAAGCGUGGGGAGCAAACAGGAUUAGAUACCCUGGUAGUCCACGCCGUAAACGGUGGGUGCUAGGUGUAGGCGGUAUUCCACGCCGUCUGUGCCGCAGCUAACGCAUUAAGCACCCCGCCUGGGGAGUACGGCCGCAAGGCUA
rnacentral:rRNA from 1 species